rnacentral:rRNA from 1 species
UACGUAGGGUGCAAGCGUUGUCCGGAAUUAUUGGGCGUAAAGAGCUCGUAGGCGGUUUGUCGCGUCUGCUGUGAAAACUCAGGGCUUAACUCUGAGCUUGCAGUGGGUACGGGCAGACUAGAGUGCGGUAGGGGAGACUGGAAUUCCUGGUGUAGCGGUGAAAUGCGCAGAUAUCAGGAGGAACACCGGUGGCGAAGGCGGCGAUCUGGCCCAACACUGACACUGAGACCCGAAAGCAUGGGGAUCAAACAGG